AUGUAUAAGUUAUUUAGGGGUAAAAUCAACUUCCCUCUGAAGUCUGCUGCUGGUCAUGCUCUUUUAUAUGAUGGUCUGAUCUGGUCACACUCUUUCGACAGUCGAUGCAUAUUUUCUUUUGGUGGCGGAGCUAGAUGGGGAGGCAAAGGGAAAAUACAUCAAUUCUUGAGCGGUCCAAAAACUAUAAUUUGUUUUAUUAAGCACCCCCAAGAGUUCUUUAUUCACACAUUUUUUCAAGGUUGGGGGUUUAAUGGCAGGAGAUCAAGCACUCCGUCCUCUGCCAGGUCGCCGCCGCUGCCCGGGACGUGGACGCGCACGUGGGUCCGUCAGUCGCUGGCAAACAAGGUCGAGUCCGUGCAGAGCACUGGUCUCCUCCCUAUCGUCGUCGUCCUCCCUGCUGCCAGCGACGCCCUCCUGUCUCCUCUGCACCAGUCUACUCCUUCAUAUUAUUUACAAAAGAAAAUGGUUUGGGGUGAAGAGUUGAAGGCUUGA
rnacentral:rRNA from 1 species